rnacentral:rRNA from 1 species
CUAUCCCAGAGCAGGUAAACGUGAAAGUGAAAUUACGGGUAGGUCCGAAACCACGAGCGUUGUAAAGCCCGGGGAUGACGUGUGUGUUGCUGUGUAAUUCAAAUCGAGCCCGGAGAGAGCUGGUUCUCCCCGAAAUAGCGUUAGUGAUAGCAUAAAGGUGAGAGAUACUGAGGUAGAGCACUGAAUGUCCUAGGGGGUAUUGCACCUACCGAAGACUAUCAAACUCCGAAU